ensembl:lncRNA
AUAAUGCUUAACGAUGCAAUUGAGGAAACCUGUUAAAGGUGCCAGUAAUGCUGUGGAAGGAUCUGAGAGAAGAAGGAGAAAAGUGGGAAUAGCCAUAAAGGAGGUUACUCACAGAUAGCUGUGAAGAAAUGAGACAGAAAAGGCGUGAGAGUGACCUGCUCUGAUGGUACUGCUGUUCCAGGACAUGCUACAUUCCAGCGGGUUUCUUCCCUUCAGUUGAACGCAAACAUACAGCCUUCCACAGGUUUCCUGAAUGAAUGACAGUCUACAAAAAGGUGAGGAGAAGGACUCAGGGUGCCGAGUGCUGGGCGGCAUCACCGCAGUCCCUGAAGACCUCAUGGAGCAAGUCCUGCUGGAAACCUCUUUCUGGGCAUACAGAGAGCAAGAAGAUAACUUAGAACAGCACCAUUUCACCAGCACGAGUAAUUCUGACCAAUUAGUCACCUUCUAGAAAGAAAUCACUUCUCUGUGGAUGAAUUAAUUACAGUGGAUGUUGUUUAUGUUGAAACAGCUUCUGACACAGCCUCCAAUGUUAUCUGUGUUCAAAGCUUCUUCAUUUCUCUCUUGCAUGGGAGGUCAAAGCUGGACACACUGCUCUAUGUGGGGUCUUGUAACUAAUGAAUUGCUCCUUAGGCAUAGGGGAGAUAUGAAUUGGACAGUGAAAAGAAAACUGGAUCAUUGACUCAAAUAGGAGUGAUGAAUGAUUUGGAGUAAAACUGACAGGUAGCAGCAAGUGGUCAGUGCUGGGACUGGUACUGCUAAACAUUUUCAGGAGGAGUGGGCUGGCAGAAGCCUCACAGUGUUUAUGAGGCAAAUGUUCACAAGGCAGAACUGUGAUUCUGCCAAGACAAAUUAGCACAGGCUGGAAGCCAACAGACUAGAGAACAGCUCUGCAGAAAGACUUGAGAGUCCUGGUGGACAACAAGAUGGUGGGUCAGCAGGAACAUGCUUAGAGCAGUGAAGGCAAAUUGUUUACCAGUCUGUCUUAUCAAGACUGUAGUCAGAAGAUCAAGUGAUUAUUCUCCUCUAUUUGUUACAAGACCCCAUGUGGAGCAAUGUAUCCACUUUUGAACUUCUGUGCAAGAAAGGAAUGAGGAAGCUGGAGGAAAUCCAACAGGGAGUAAGUAAGAUGGUUAGGGAGCUGUGGCAUAUGAAAGCUGAGGAAAGUUAGGGAAGUGUAAGGAGGAGUUGAGAGAGCUGUUCUUGUUUAUCCUGGACAAGUGAAGGCUAAGGGAGGAUCUGAGUUGAUCUUCCACUACCUCAAGGAGGGAUAUGUGGAGGAUGGAACAAGAACUUCAGAGCAAAAGGACAAAAUGCAAUGAAUACAAGUUGCUAUAUGGAAAGUCCAAAGGCAUUAGGAAAAUGUCUUAGACAUUAUGUAAUUUUAUUUUACUGUGAGGGUGCUUAAAACUGUAACAGGUUGCUCAGAGAGACUGUAGAGUCUCCAUCCUUGCAGGUGCUGUUGCUUGGUUAGUCACUUGAAACUUGCCCUCUUUUGUGGAGAAGGUUGGGCUCGGUGACCUCCAGAGGUCUCUCCCAAGCCAAACUACUAUCUAAUUAUCCCAUUCUAUAAUAAACCUUCACCUGCAGACAUGACAUCCUUCUGAAUGGAGGAAAGAUGCAGGGAGGAAAUAGGGAAGAAGCAUGAGGCUUGGAAGUUGCUCUGCGAGCAUAUGUGGAAGAUUCUUUAGAUCUUGGUUAGUUCUUGAGUUAGAUCUCCUGGUUUGCAGGAGUGUAUUUGGCCUUUAGGAGUGUCACAGAACUCUGUUAAUGCCACAGCAGCAGCAGGGCCCAGCAUACCGGAUACAAGACUGACACUCUGAGUUGAAUUCCAGACUUGACCGUGCUGUUGUUCUGCUACUCUACAGGUCUCUGUGGUUUGUUUUGCCCUCCCAUUCCUUCUGUAUUUAGACUGCAGACUGUUUGUCACUGGUUGUUUUACAUACAGCAUACCCUGGCCUCAUAUUGAGUAUGGCUGUAAGCAUUUUUUUUUAAAUUGUAUUUAUUUAUUUAUUUUGAAAAUGCCAUCUGAGGUUAACAGUGCACAAAAUACAAGGUAUUACAGCUGGAAUUUCCCUCAGACUGCAUUUGUUGUGCAAUACUGAGAAAAAAUUAAAGUCUUCCAUGCUGUACUGCUCUCUGUAAGAGGUUUAAAUAAACUUGCACUGUGUGUUGAAAUGUUAGCAGUAGUGAUUGGAGCCUGGGAUUGAAUUAGAGUAAUCUGUGAGGAGAGAAGCUGAAGAGCCUUGUUACAGUUAAUGGAGCAAGAUGAGGGAGAAGAUCUGUAUUUGCUCGUAAGAUUCUGCUUGUCACCAAAUAAAAACAAAUCUUUGAGACUUUACGUGGGGCUGAAAUCCUUAUGCAGCUUGGUGGAAGGCUUUGUGUUCAUUCUGUGGCGUUAAUUCCUACAGGGUAGCGUGAACUUGACUUCCAAUUAACAUUGAUGUGAAGUGCUUACAGGAUUUAUGAGCUAGAAUUAAGAAAAAUAACCAACGUGGACUGCUGCCAUAGCUCUGGAGAUUCUCUUUUAGCCAACUGUACUGCCACUAAAAUUACUUCUGGC